CGACUAAGCCGAGGGCCACUGGAUAAGGGUUGUUGAUGGUAAAACAGGUAGAGUUAUGUCUGCGACUAAGCCGAGGGCCACUGGAUAAGGGUUGUUGAUGGUAAAACAGGUAGAGUUAUGUCUGCGACUAAGCCGAGGGCCACUGGAUAAGGGUUGUUGAUGGUAAAACAGGUAGAGUUAUGUCUGCGACUAAGCCGAGGGCCACUGGAUAAGGGUUGUUGAUGGUAAAACAGGUAGAGGAAUGUCUGCGACUAAGCCGAGGGCCACUGGAUAAGGGUUGUUGAUGGUAAAACAGAUUGGAGACUACAUAAGACUUUGACAGAUGGCGGGAAACCCUCAUGAACUGGAUAGAAGCCGGAAAAUAGAUGGCCGU